rnacentral:rRNA from 1 species
GAGUUUGAUCAUGGCUCAGAUUGAACGCUGGCGGCAGGCCUAACACAUGCAAGUCGAGCGGCAGCGCGGGGGCAACCCUGGCGGCGAGCGGCGAACGGGUGAGUAAUACAUCGGAACGUGUCCUGUCGUGGGGGAUAACCAGUCGAAAGAUUGGCUAAUACCGCAUGACCUCGUAAGAGAAAAGCGGGGGACCGUAAGGCCUCGCGCGACUGGAGCGGCCGAUGUCGGAUUAGCUAGUUGGCGGGGUAAAAGCCCACCAAGGCGACGAUCCGUAGCUGGUUUGAGAGAACGACCAGCCACACUGGGACUGAGACACGGCCCAGACUCCUACGGGAGGCAGCAGUGGGGAAUUUUGGACAAUGGGGGCAACCCUGAUCCAGCCAUGCCGCGUGUGUGAAGAAGGCC